GUGGGGAAUAUUGGACAAUGGGCGAAAGCCUGAUCCAGCCAUGCCGCGUGUGUGAAGAAGGUCUUCGGAUUGUAAAGCACUUUAAGUUGGGAGGAAGGGCAGUAAGUUAAUACCUUGCUGUUUUGACGUUACCGACAGAAUAAGCACCGGCUAACUUCGUGCCAGCAGCCGCGGUAAUACGAAGGGUGCAAGCGUUAAUCGGAAUUACUUGGCGUAAAGCGCGCGUAGGUGGUUUUGUAAGUUGGAGGUGAAAUCCCCGGGCUAAACCUGGGAACUGCCUCCAAAACUGCAUGACUAGAGUACGGUAGAGGGUAGUGGAAUUUCCUGUGUAGCGGUGAAAUGCGUAGAUAUAGGAAGGAACACCAGUGGCGAAGGCGACUACCUGGACUGAUACUGACACUGAGGUGCGAAAGCGUGGGGAGCAAACAGGAUUAGAAACCCCGGUAGUCC
rnacentral:rRNA from 1 species